rnacentral:sRNA from 1 species
GUGAGAAAUUGACAGAGAUAAAGCUCAUUAUCUCAUUAGAUCUCAUUAAUCGAAUUGGCCGAAUUUAAGUAGACCAUUACGAAAUGCGAAUGGCAUGAAUAGAAGAAGAAGAAUUCGCGAAGACAAAGCAUAAGAUUGGUUCAGUUAAUUAAAUAAAGCCUUAAAAUACUGGCUAAAGGUUGGAUGCAUUGAGAGUCUAUUCAUCUAUGAUAGGCUAUAUCGCCCAACGAGAGGAAUCACUGAACCUGCCAUUGGACUGCACCGCAAAUCCCCAGAGUCAACAUAAGAAAGCCGGAACAGGACGUUGCCUUGUGGCUUUGCUGUUUAGAUAGAGGCUCACAGCAGGUGCAUUGUGUUGUGGUCACCUGGCUAAGGUAUCUGCUUUUAAAAGUCUGCCUGCUAUCAAGUUAGUCGAUGUCGGUAGCACUCGGAAAUGGGUUUUCCCACUGACACAGCCAGGCAGACGCCUCUCUCUCUCCUCUCUCUCUCCCUCGCUCUUUGAGCAAUAAGCCACUU